rnacentral:rRNA from 1 species
UACGUAAGUGGCGAGCGUUAUCCGGAAUUACUGGGCGUAAAGCGUGUGUAGGCGGUUUAGUGUGUGGGAAUUGAAAGCCCGGGGCUCAACUCCGGAUCCGGUUCCCAAACUGCUAGACUCGAGCGUAUCAGAGGACAGUGGAAUUCCCGGUGUAGCGGUAAUAUGCGUAGAUAUCGGGAGGAACACCAGUGGCGAAGGCGACUGUCUGGGGUAUUGCUGACGCUGAGACACGAAAGCCAGGGGAGCGAACGGG